GCGCUCGUCGUCUAAUGGUUAUGAUGUCAGAUUCCUAAUGUAGUUUAUUCUUGAUUAGUCAUCAUCUGAAGGAUGUGAGUUCGAGUCUCACUGGGCGCU